GGAGAUGGGCAGACGCCACGGUCUAGCGAUUAGAGGAAGAGCCAGAGAAGAGGUGACACUGUUUUUCCUGGACCUUAAAGCAAAGACAGGAUUCACACAUGCAGCAGUGGUGGGAAAAUGCUACAGGUGCAGAAAAUGGGAAGUAGAGUUUGACUGGAGCCUCUGUGAGCCUUGCCCAGACUGGGGAGAGAAACAAUACUUUGUUCAUCUUCGAAUCUCUAGGAACUAGAAGACUAUCUAUGCUUCAUAAUAG